rnacentral:rRNA from 1 species
ACGCUCGACACCUACGGGGGGCAGCAGUGGGGAAUAUUGCACAAUGGGGGAAACCCUGAUGCAGCAACGCCGCGUGAAGGAAGACGGUUUUCGGAUUGUAAACUUCUGUUCUUAGUGAAGAUAGUGACGGUAGCUAAGGAGCAAGCCACGGCUAACUACGUGCCUGCAGCCGCGGUAAUCUGAGCGGGCUGGCAAGGC